AGUAAACAGCCUUUUAUGCAGGAGGAGAUGUAAGGAAAUACUGCUCUGCUCACGCUCUGCCAUUGAGUUAAGGUUCCAGGCACAGCAGAAGGCUGCUCCAAGGCGGAUGCUUGAAAACGGACCUGGAAAAGUGUGUGUGAGCUGGAAUUGUCUGGAGGGUAUUUGAGAGGCCCAUUCAUUUCAUAGGAAAAGUUCCAUUCCAGUAAAAUUGUCCACUCAUAUUUGAUGAAGGAGAGGAAAGGAGCAGCUGCCGUUAUUCCCUGGAGAAGUUGCUUUGCAGAUCCCCAAUUUUGGAAAGCUACAGAUGGAAGUGGUUCUGAUUAGCCCCAAGCAGGUAUUUACAAGAAUCACUUCCAGUCCAUAUUGCCAGGAGAGGAUCUGGAAAGGCCACAGGGACUGCAGAUGGAAACCCCACUGCCCAGGGCUGCUCUGCUCUGCGCAGCAGGCAGUGAGGGGGAGGCAUGAAAGCCCGGUGGAGAAGCUGAGCACAGACGGUGCUAGGAAACGAGGCAGGGCACAGGGUGCUGAUGCUGGUGGCAAACGCGUACCAAACCGACUCUGCUCUGACGUCUGUGUGAUGGUGAAGAGUCGAAAUGUUGCACUUCAGUGAUUCUCCAGACCAUGCCUGUACUGGGGAAUAAAUUCAGGUACAGUGAGGAGGAAAACACCACAAAUGUCACAAGAAGAAUUUGUGUGAAUCCUGGCAACCCUGCAUGAGCUCUAUGGGUGUGAGAACGUGUCGGAGAUCCCUGCUGCCAGAGCUCCUGACUGUCACUGCUACCAACUGGCACAGCACCAGUAAAUUUAUCUUUAGAUGGGAAUACACCGUCAGCUCCACUACCUUGCUCAAUCAAGGAAACCAACCAGCCUGGAGAACACAAGGACCAUCUGUAGAGGAGCACGUAGGAGAUGUCACAGCAACCCGCUGCAUUCCCUGGCUUCCCACUGGGCUGCGCACUGCUGGUGGGGAGCUCCUGUCUGCGUGCACCUGUGGCUGCGUGAUGGGGAACGGCUUUGGCUUCAGGAGCAACCCCAGCACAGGCUGGACUCGGGCCAGAUGGGAGCCGGGAACAGCUUUUGUGACAAUGAUGGAUGCGGUGUAGCUGCCGAUGGAUGGAGAGCAGACAUCCCCUUGUAUCCUUCCAGACCACUCCAGCAUUCAGUCCUGUGCUACCAUCCUGCCUGAAGGAAGAUGGAUCCAGGAAUACAACAACUGCAGGGUACUUUGUACAAUGCCACGGAUCAUGCCAUACCUGCACCUGAUGCACAAGCAUCACUUUGGGACACAGUCCGGGGGAAAAGGCCUCUGGUAAUGAACAAAUUAAAGUUAAAAUCAGCACUUUAAGUUCCAUAUAUUCAAGGUGAGACAAUAAUUCAAGAAAUAACAGUAAGGGUGUUUUUUUUUUUUUUUUUUUAAGAUUUACUACUUGAGCCAAAAGUCUUUUCUGUAUGUUGUGGUAUGUUGUGGUAUAUCUCUGGAUGCUAUGUGUGGGACCAGAACAGUGGGCUGUGCCAGCAGCAGGGCAACCCUAUGGACCUCAGAGCACUAAGAGAUACUGGAAGAAGGAGGGCAGAAAUCACUUCACCUGAGGGCUUCAGCAUGGGUUGCCAUGCGAAGUGUGGGCUGGAGAACCACAGCUCAGGAAUAAAAGCUGCUGCUGAGAAACCACAAAACCACCGAGACAAUUCCAGCUGGCAGCUCAGAUCCAUCAACGUCUCAUUAAACAAAUGCCUCCCUUACAAAAGGAAGAGGGGAAAAAACCAAGCUGCGUGUGUUUCUGAGCGGCCAUUUCAGAACAGAGCGCAGGAGUCAGGGAAAAACUGCAAAUGGGAAUUUGCAAACACUGGAGUCGCUGAUGGAGAGCUCUGGCAAAGGCACAGUGCACUGCAAGCAGCAGCUGUAGAGAUGGACAGAGAUUUCCUCAGGUGGAUAAUCCCCUGAGCAGCAAAGGUAAAUUACAGGUGUGUUUGUCAGUGGAGCCCUAUGUGGCUUUCACUUCAUUAUAUCAAACUUGGUGUGCACAUGUGCAUCACUGCCAGGACUGAAAUUUCCCUGUCCCAGACAGUGAGAGGCAUUUUCAGCAGCUACGUUGUGCUGCAGCGCUGCCAGCCCGGGGAGUGUGCUGAGAUGAAUGAUGCCACCUCUCAGUCCUGCUCACAGAGCAGCUGAACUCUGUGUAGGGGCUGCAAAUAGGUGCAGGCAGGAGUGGAUGUAGGAUGGGAAGCUCUCACCUCUCAACCCUCAGCUGAGACUCAGCAGCCGGGGAGCUCAGUGCUUGCAGCUGCUGCUCUGCAAAGUAAGCAGAGGAACCCUUUCCAGCAGCAGGCUGAGCUGAUCUCAGCUGCUCCAAUGGGGCAGUGGUGUGGGGAGGUGGGCUGCACCCCAGUAAUAGUGGGGACCCCAGGAAGGAUGCUCAUGCAUCCAUGCGGUGCUGGUGGCUUGCUGGGCAUGACAGAUAGGAGCAACCUUCAAACCCUUACAUCCCACCUGGGGUCCAGAGGGCCUCAGGAUACCCCACCAGUUUCAGAAAGCCAUGGGGGCAAUCCCCAGCAAGAAACAGCAAUGGAACGCUCUGGCAAUGCCACCUCCUCUCUUAGCACCUGCAGCCCUUCCACUGGAAAAAAUGAAUGGCUUGUAGGAGACAAUAACAUUAUUAUAAAUCAAGUUGUAUUUCUAUUAUAAUGACGAAGGGAGAACACACUUUCUAUAUGCUAAAUAUAUUCGUGUGGUUAUAUGAUAGUAGCAUUCCUUAAAUUGAUGAUAUUUAUCAGCUGAGGAAAACAAAUUUCUAUAUACAGAAGAAAAUAAUUAAAGGAAAGGGGAGAAUAAUAGCAGCUUCACAGCAGUCAAGUCUGGCAAUGUCUUAAGAGAAAUAUUGAUGUUCUUUUGGAUGCGUGUCAAGUAGAAAUGGAAAGAUAGCAGGGCAAUUUCUUCUGCAGUUAUAACUACAAAGGAUCUUUAAACACUUGCAGUCCUACAUACCCAGGAUGAAAUUUUGUUUCCAGCAGACUGACUUCUCCUUGCUUUCUCUGAUGGGAAAAAGAAAAAUUGGUUACAAGGGAAUUUUUGUUUAUUUGUCUUUUUGGAACCUGUUGAGUGUCAUCUAUACUCUGCUUAACCUGACAUAUCGCUGCAAAAAAAAAGAGGAAAAAAUACAACCUGCAAGUACAGGAUCAUUGUGGCGAAGCCCAGUGGUGCUGUUACACUUAUUUAAGGAGGCUAUUGGCUUUUCCAUCAUUUCCCCUCUUUUUUUUUUUUUUUUUUUUUUUCCAGCUGCUGAUGAUCUGGCUGAGAUGUUAGCCUGGGGUGGCACCCGAGUGGGUGGAACAUCCCUAACCCGUGGGCUUGCUUUGCAGAGUAAGGAGUGCAGAGCUGGGAGGGGCUGGAGCACAGCCAUUGCAGCAGCACCCAGCCCAUUUGGACUCAUGGUAGCACCCAAGGCAUGUGGGGGAGGCAUGCAGCACCUCGUUAUCCACCUGCCAGGGCCGGACAGGACGGCUGCAGAGCCACAGAACAUUUCACCAAGCCCAGCAAAAGCUUGACAUUGAAAACAACUCCUGGGGAACUGUCAAAAUGACAAUGGGAAAAGCAUUAACGAUUCAUCCAUGUGCCAUUAGCCCUGCAUGUUAGACCUGACGCUGUGCGAAGUCAAUAGAUCAUUUUUAUGUUCUACGAUAGAAAAACAUUGAGUUCGAAUGGAAGCAUAUGACCUCUAGGCUACAUUAAACCACUAUUAAGAAAAAGAUCAUUAUCUGAAAAGUGCAAAACCUUAUUAAUUCGGUCCGCUUGUCUGUCAGACUCCGAGCAUUUCCAAUCUGUUUCCUCUGGUGUCACCUGGCAAUCGAUGCAUUAACGCUCGGCAGAAGCUCAGCAACUCAAACGCAGCGUUAAGAGAGCACAUUCACCAGUAUGAUCAUCAUCAUUUGUUAAGAAAAUGAUGCUUGUUUUAUAUCUCAACCACUUCUUCCAAAGGUGGUUGUGGCCAAGCCGCAGUUCAGGUCUCUCCUUAUAAAAAGAAACAAUAUACUACUUGGUGUCCUCUGCGUGUUUCAAGAGAAACAACUUCAAGCCAUUAAAGCACACAAGAAUUAACUAUUUU
rnacentral:lncRNA from 1 species